CUGUCAGAGGAAUGAUGUACUAUUAUAGAGCUCUGAAGAUGCUGGCUUUCCUUGAUUCUGCAUCAGAGAUGGAUAUUAAGG
rfam:Corchorus olitorius cultivar O-4 contig20675, whole genome shotgun sequence.